AGCGCUGCGGCUGGAGGCGCGGCUGGUUCUCUGCCUGCUGUCCAGUUCCACCUUGGCUUGUGCAACCACCCUGGAUCUGCGAACUCUGUGCAGCUGCUCCGUCCACCAUAUCUUGCGGCGGCGAGCGCUAAGAAUUCAUGCUACGACACUCGAUUCAGCCAGGAGGUGACACCAAAUGUGAUCAGAAGCCAUGCCCAUGGUGAAGAGGUAUACUGAACCCGGCCUGGCCCAGUGAGGUUACUAGAGAAUUGGGAAAGGCUUAAAUAAGUAUCCUGCACAUGGUUAUCAAAUCAUUGUAAAGUCUUGAAAAUCAUCUGGAAUGCUUGUUAAAAAUGCAGAUUUCUGGGCAGCCAGAAACCUUGCACUAGUCAAGAGCAACACUAAGACCCACCUGUCAUUUAUAUUGAGGCUUCCUGCCCGGUGGGUUCAUCAGCAAGCCAGAAUGAAUCACCAUUGCUGUGUGUGGAUCCUUGUGAGGCAGCUGGGAAGUCUUGGCUAAAUUGUGAAGGAUGUCUUUUGAAAAGUGUUCUAGAGAGUCUACUGGUUUUCCCACAUGAGUGAACGUGUAGCAGAAGAGAGGAUCCUCUCAGUGAUUAAGGCGACCUUAGAAACAACUUGUUGAGUUCUCACCAUGAAUACCAUUGGAAUUGCAGUUGGAAUGGCAUUAAACACGUAGAUUAAUUUUUGGAGAGCGAUCAUCUUUAUAAUCUUCUCCUACAUGAAUGUGUUUCUCCUCUGCUGCCUUUUGAGCUGCCAGGCACUGUGCUGGGUGAUGGGGAUAUGAAGACGAAUUAGACACAGUUCCUGCCCUCAGGAGUUCUCAGUCUAGUGAGAGAGUUCGACAUGUACACAGAUAAUUACAACAUAUGGUAUGCUCUACAAUGGAGAUGUUGCAUGCCUGCUGCUGCUGCUGCUGCUACUACUACUACAGUUGCUGCUGAUUGCUCCUUGGGUAGGACCAAAGUGAUCAUUGAUCAGAAACUUCAUCCUCACAGUCUGGGGGUUGCUCCUGUGGCUGGUAUUCACAGUUUCCCCUUUCAACUUUACCUCAGCUAUCCCCUUACCUACAGUGACAGGAGGAUCUGGUAGAAGACUUCGUGUGAGGAAGAAGAAAAAGAAAGAAGCAGAGAAUCACUACAGCAUGUCUUCAUAUCAGCUUCACAAAGCACGACUCAACAGAGGGCUUACUCUCUUGAGACUCCAGACCACAGGCCAUCUGUAACAGCCUUUCAUCUGGAAGGAGCCUUGUGAAUGAGUGAAUGAAACUUCAGUGUUCAGCUGCAAUACAAGUCCAGUGCUUGAAGAAGCAAAGAGGGCAACAAGCCUCCAGGGGACAACAGUGUGGUCUUCUAAGUGAAGAUAGCAACAGAAGAGAUCACGGACUUGGCUGGAUUGGGCUGGGCUUGUUUGUUUGUUCAAAAUUUUAAAAAUACUUUUUUUCUUGGGGCGCCUGGGUGGCGCAGUCGGUUAAGCGUCCGACUUCAGUCAGGUC